rnacentral:ribozyme from 1 species
GGCACAGCAACUUCUAUCCCUACCUCCUCUCGGUACUGGCCGGGGUACGAGCAACCAGGUAACCAACCCCGGUGAGAACUUUGGUCGUAUGCUGGCAGGGUUUA